AUUACCAGGAAGAAUUGGCACCUGCCAAAGAAUGGGCAAGAAAAAAAGAACCUUCCCUUUAUUAGAGAGUGUCAUAUUAUCUUGAAUCACAAACGUAUUUGCACAUGUAACAUAUGAAAGUGCAGAGUCUGCUAAUUUAACAGGGAAAAAGCUGAGGGUACAAUGGAUAUGCAGUCUAAGCAUGAAAAAGAUUUAUUUACUUGAGUAAAAAGGUGUCUGUUAUUAGUUUUAUUCAUAAGCCCACAAUCAACAAGACCAGAGAGAUUCCUCUUCCAGUAUCACAGGAAAAAAAAGUAUGAGCAUUAAUUAUCAUAAACAAUCCAGUAUCAAUUAGUUCCAACAGAUUUGUUCACUUAACUAUGUCUUAUUCCAAAAUUACUUAGUUCGAAAAUAUCAAUGUUCCUCCAGAGUGCAAAGAAUAUUCUUUUGUAUGUAUGUGACUAUAUUCAAUUUUCUUCAUUAAGCAAUUUCACAUUGGGUUAAUCACAAGAAAAAACUAGUGGAGUUCAGCAUUAGACGUGUUUAUCGUUCUGUUUUCAAAAAAAGAAAGUAACGAGGUUUUCAAAAAUUAGGAGUUUUUGUCCAGAACCAAUUGGAAAUUGAAAGAUGGCAUCCCUUACUAAUUAAGGCUAUAUUUGGUAAGAUGUAGUUGAAGCAUAAUGUAAUCAAAUAUAUAAUAAAAUGAAAAAUGUAAUGGAACGGACCAAAAAUUUUCAUUCCUAUAUUUAGUUUAUUUGAUAGUGAUGGUCACAACGAAGUGGUAGUGAUGUUUGUAGUUGCUGGAGGGUGGCGGCAACGGCUAGAUGGGAGAAGGAUAAGGGUAGCAACAGUGGCAAUGGCUGGUUCACGGCAGAAGUGAUAGGGAGAAGGAUGGUGAUGAUAGUAUAAGGUUCUGGUGGUGGAGUGAUGGAAGUAAAAAUAAGUAAUGAAACAAACGAAGCAAUCACAAUUAAUUACAUACUUUCAUAUGUAGUGAGCCUUAUAUUAACCAAAGUAGUGGUAAGCCAGUCGAGGAGUAGCUUAAUUGCUCUUUCUCUGCUUAAUUGUAUUGAAUUUGAAUAUCUUCAUCUAGGAUUUAUUAUGUAAUGAUUGGCCUAAUAAUUCACAUUAUAUGCCUAGCCAGGUUUGGCAAGUAACUAAAGCUGUAUCACUCGGACAAACUCAGGUUUGAGUCCUACUCCCAAUCCCCUACCAAAAAAUAAAUAAAUAAUUCAGAUUAUAUUACAAUAAAUUAUUUUUUUCUAAGCAAGCAAAGGAACAAGUCAUUACAAUUUUGACUUGCCUAGUAACAUCAAUUGGUGUGAAAAAACCAAAAAAGAUAUUAAUAUUAAUAGUAAUAGUAAUAUUAAUGAAUCUGUAAAGCAAAUGAAAAAAUAAAUCAAGAAAAAUACCUGAGCGAGAAAUCCAUCAUAU
rnacentral:misc_RNA from 1 species